rnacentral:rRNA from 1 species
UUCCGGAGAGGGAGCCUGAGAAACGGCUACCACAUCCAAGGAAGGCAGCAGGCACGCAAAUUACCCACUCCCGGCACGGUGAGGUAGUGACGAAAAAUAACGAGAUGACUCUUUAAGAGGGUCAUCAUCGGAAUGAGUACAAUUUAAAUCCUUUAACAAGGAUCUAUUGGAGGGCAAGUCUGGUGCCAGCAGCCGCGGUAAUUCCAGCUCCAAUAGCGUAUACUAAAAUUGUUGCGAUUAAAAAGCUUGUAGUUGGAUUUGCGAUACAGGAUAGCGGUCCCCCGAAAGGGUGGUUACUGUGUUUCCUGAUCGAAAAAUCUGGUCGUCCCUAAAUGCUCUUUACUGAGUGUCUAGGGUGACUAGAAAAUUUACUUUGAAAAAAUUAGAGUGUUCAAGGCAGGCGUAAGCCUAAAUAGUGGUGCAUGGAAUAAUGGAAUAGGACCUCGGUUCUAUUUUAUUGGUUUUCAAAGAGCCCGAGGUAAUGAUUAAGAGGGACAGACGGGGGCAUUAGUAUUGCGACGUUAGAGGUGAAAUUCUUGGAUCGUCGCAAGACUAACUACUGCGAAAGCAUUUGCCAAGAAUGUUUUCAUUAAUCAAUAACGAAAGUUAGAGGGUUCGAAGGCGAUCAGAUACCGCCCUAGUUCU